rnacentral:rRNA from 1 species
AGUGAACGCUGGCGGUAGGCCUAACACAUGCAAGUCGAACGGCAGCACAGUAAGAGCUUGCUCUUACGGGUGGCGAGUGGCGGACGGGUGAGGAAUACAUCGGAAUCUACUUUUUCGUGGGGGAUAACGUAGGGAAACUUACGCUAAUACCGCAUACGACCUACGGGUGAAAGCAUGGGAUCUUCGGACCUUGCGCGAUUGAAUGAGCCGAUGUCGGAUUAGCUAGUUGGCGGGGUAAAGGCCCACCAAGGCGACGAUCCGUAGCUGGUCUGAGAGGAUGAUCAGCCACACUGGAACUGAGACACGGUCCAGACUCCUACGGGAGGCAGCAGUGGGGAAUAUUGGACAAAGGGCGCAAGCCUGAUCCAGCCAUACCGCGUGGGUGAAGAAGGCCUUCGGGUUGUAGAGCCCUUUUGUUGGGAAAGAAAAGCAGCAGGUUAAUACCCCGCUGUUCUGACGGUACCCAAAGAAUAAGCACCGGCUAACUUCGUG